rnacentral:RNase_P_RNA from 1 species
GGAAGCAAAUCGAAUGAUCGCUGGCACGAGCGGCAGCUCAGUGCGGGAGGAAAGUCCGAGCUCCAUAGGGCAGGACGCUGGUUAACAGCCAGCGAGGGUGACCUCGGGAAAGUGCCACAGAAAAAAAACCGCCUCGCUUCUGCUAGGUAAGGGUGAAACGGUGAGGUAAGAGCUCACCAGCUUCGGUGGUGACGCCGGAGGCUAGGUAAACCCCGUUCGGAGCAAGACCAAAUAGAGGGGUGCUUGAGGGUGGCCCGCCCGAAACCCCUGGGUAGGUCGCUUGAGAAGCCGGGUAACCGGUUUCCUAGAUGAAUGAUCAUUGCCCUGCUUAUGGCAUGGCCGAAGCGGGGAACAGAACUCGGCUUACAGGUUUCUUCCUGAG